AAGCAACAGCUCCAUAAAUAGCUGUAGGCAGUUGCUUGAAUGGGAGACAGGGGAUAUAUGUAACUGCAUCUGAGGGCCCAUUCAGAUUGUGAACGCGAUGAUUGCUUGCAAAAAUAUUUCCUUCACACAAACCCCUGUUUGAUCGUUUCAUUUUAUGUUCCCGGUAUGAUUUUAAUGGGAGUUGACUGGCUAACUGAAAUGUCCGCAUUCAAUUUUGCAAAUUAACUGCAAAGAAUAUUCCAUGGAACUCAAGGAAGCUAAGGCCGGAUUUUGGCAACCAAGAUGCACUGGGCCCUUGUCCUUGGCCCAAGGAGCUCCAAACACUGGAUUGCGCAUACACCACCCACUUCCGGUCUGCAUAUAAUUGGAAACUCCCAGGACAUGCUGAGACCUGUAGUUCCAGGACCCCGCUCGACAACAAGUGGUUCAGAUAAAUAUUACAGAUCCCACUUGGCACCAUGUGGAAAAAAAAACACAGAGAUGAUCCUAGCCACCUCCAUACCAAAACCGCACGGCACCUUGCUGUGGGCAAAAUGGCAGCUUCAUUUUCUACGAGAGAACAGUCACAAUGCUUCAAAUGAAUUCACUGCGGAAGAAGCAGUUGGAGACAGUUCUGAGCAGUGCUAUAAAAAUUAAAGUUGUUCUUUCACUCCUUCCCUGCAAUUUUAGCAAAUAGUUUCAACUUUAUGGGGAUAAACAAAACACAAUCACAAUGGAAAUAAAAAAAAUAUGAUUCUGACAGAAUCAUCUCCAGAAUACAUCACCGCUUAGUGUCUUUGAUAAGCAGAAUCACUUAAUUUUGGGGUAAAAAAAAAUUACCUCCUUUAUUGAUAUGUUAAAACUCAGCUGUCAAGCUUGGCUGUGCUACAUCUGAUCGGUGAGUGUUGGGUGCAGUUGUUUUUAACUUGUUAGACACACACUAGAUU